AGAGAGAGACAUGCGCGCAUAUCAAUAAGGGAGGAAAAGAAACUAACAAGGAUUCCCCUAGUAACGGCGAGUGAAGCGGGAAGAGCUCAAAUUUGAAAUCUUAAAGGGUUUCCCUUUACGAAUUGUAGUUUAAAGAAGUGUUUUCUGUUGAGGUUUUGGUAAAAGUUCUUUGGAAUAGGACAUCAUAGAGGGUGAGAAUCCCGUAUUUGACCUUUACUUUCAACUUUGUGAUACACUUUCAAAGAGUCGGAUUGUUUGGGAAUGCAGUCCAAAAUGGGUGGUAAAUUUCAUCUAAAGCUAAAUAUUGGCGAGAGACCGAUAGCGAACAAGUACCGUGAGGGAAAGAUGAAAAGAACUUUGAAAAGAGAGUUAAACAGUACGUGAAAUUGUCAAAAGGGAAGCGUUUGACACCAGUGUUGUUUUUCUGAAAAUCAAUUAAAGAACUGUUUAUGCUAAGUUGUUUAGACUUUAUCAGCUAACUGUUUAGUUUUGAGCUUUUCUUUAAUGCACUUUUCAGUUAACAAGUCAACAUCAAUUUCUUUUGCUGUAAAAAAGCUUGAGGAAGGUGGCUUGAGAUUCGUCUUAAGUGUUUAUAGCCUCUUGCCUAUGCAGUCGGAGAGAUUGAGGUCUGCAGCGUAGAUCCUUCGGGGCUAAAUGCAUUUGUGCUAAGUUAUAGCAUUUUAUAGACAACUUGUUGACUAUGAUUUGUCUUGUAGCUUACUCGCUUAUGUUAUUUUACCUACGCUUAGGAUGUUGAGCGCAUGUCUCUCUCU
rnacentral:rRNA from 1 species